rnacentral:rRNA from 1 species
AUUGAACGCUAGCGGGAUGCCUUACACAUGCAAGUCGAACGGAGUGGCGAACGGGUGGGUAAUGUAUCGGAACGUGCCCAGUAGCGGGGGAUAACUACGCGAAAGCGUAGCUAAUACCGCAUACUAUUGGAGCGGCCGAUAUGGGAUUAGCUAGUUGGUGGGGUAACGGCUCACCAAGGCGACGAACCAUAGCCGGUUUGAGAGGGCGACCAGCCACACUGGGACUGAGACACGGCCCAGACUCCUACGGGAGGCAGCAGUGGGGAAUCUUGGACAAUGGGGGAAACCCUGACCGAGCCAUGCCGCGUGAGCGAUGAAGGCCUUCGGGUUGUAAAGCACUUUUGGCAGGAAAGCGGUACCUGCAGAAUAAGCACCGGCUAACUACGUGCCAGCAGCCGCGGUAAUUC